rnacentral:tRNA from 1 species
GGGCCGGUAGAUCAAUGGUAGAUCGCCACCUUGGCAUGGUGGAGGUUCUGGGUUCGAGUCCCGGCCGGUCCA